rnacentral:rRNA from 1 species
AUGUCAAGAACAGAGGCAAUCUUGCGGCUCCUCCUGGCCCUUUGCAUCCUCCCCUGCAACACAUCCAUUUCCUCCGCCGCUGAUGCAUUCCUCCGCUGCCUCGCCGCCGCCAUCCCGCCCCAUCUCCUCCACACCCCGCCCUCCCCGUCCUACUCCCCGCUCCUGCUCUCCUCCGUCCGGAACCUCCGAUUCGUCACGCCGGGAACCCCAAGGCCUCUCGCAAUCGUCGCCGCCGGGGAGGCCUCCCACGCCCAGGCCGCCGUGCGCUGCGGCCGUCUGCACGGCGUCCGCGUGCGCGUGCGCAGCGGCGGGCACGACUACGAGGGCCUCUCCUACCUCUCCCUGGACCCCCGCGAGCCCUUCGCCCUGCUCGACCUCGCCGCGCUCCGCGCCGUCCGCGUCGACCCCGCGCGCGCCGAGGCCUGGGUCGGGUCCGGCGCCACGCUCGGCGAGCUCUACUAUGCCGUGGCCGCCGCGAGCCGCGCGCUCGCCUUCCCCGCCGGGGUCUGCCCCACCGUCGGCGUCGGUGGCCACCUCUGCGGCGGCGGCUUCGGCACGCUAAUGCGCAGGUACGGCCUCGCCGCCGACCACGUCCUGAACGCCGUCCUCGUGGACGCCGGCGGGAGGCUCCUGAACAGGACCGCCAUGGGUGAAGAUCUCUUCUGGGCCAUCAGGGGUGGCGGCGGCGAGAGCUUCGGCGUCGUGCUGUCCUGGAAGCUCCGGCUCGUGCGCGUGCCGGAGUCGGUCACGGUGUUCACCAUCCGUCGGUCAAGAAACCAAUCUGCCACCCAUCUCAUAGCCAAAUGGCAAGAGAUCGCGCCGGCCCUGCCCCCCGGACCUAUAUCUACGGGUCAUCGUGCAUAA